GGAUUCUCCGGAUGCCUUUGGGAGCUGAAAUCGGAAAGUAGAUGGAAGUGGUUCUAAAAAGCAAGCUAGGAGAGGACAGACAAGGUUCAGUUGUGAUGAUGAAGUCACCAACCCCAUCCCAGGAAAGGUUGCUGUGAGUCAUAAAGAGGAGGACCAAAGAAGAUGGAUGGGAAAUAAAUCAUUGUGGAACACUCAAUCUUGAAGAACUUUGUGGAGACAGCAGAUGGGUAUCAUGGGAUCUGUACCCCAGUGAACACCAGUGUGAGGCUGGUGGUAAUGCUUGUCAUGGGCAAAGAAAUCAGGAUCACAGCUUCUGAGGACUGAACGUGUACUCAACUCUCAAAUAUGAAAUCACUAAUGGCCUUGACAUUCAUGGUGUUUGUCUUGGCUCACAGGAGAGUGAUGUCCUUGAGCCACACCAACCUCUCUAAGGUACCUCAGUAGACCAUGGCUAGGACUCUGGGAUAUGGAGCUCAGUUAAUGACCCCUUGUUUUGCCAUGGCACAGCACCUGCUUGAUUUCCAGAAGGCAUUGCCUCACCUUAAUAGAGAAAAUAUGUAAUAGCUGUCACGAGGUACUCUGAAGCUCUGCCCACUAAUUCUAACUCCAACUGGCUAGCUGAUCAUUUGUUCCAUUUCUUUUUUCAUACAAUAACAGCUUUAUUAUGAACUUAACUUCACAUAUAAAGUUAG